UACGGAGGAUGCGAGCGUUAUCCGGAUUUAUUGGGUUUAAAGGGUGCGCAGGCGGCACGGCAAGCCGGCGGUCAAAUCGCGGGGCUCAACCCCGCCCAGCCGUCGGAACUGCCGGGCUAAAGUGGGCGAGAAGUGCGCGGAAUGCGUGGUGUAGCGGUGAAAUGCAUAGAUAUCACGCAGAACUCCGAUUGCGAAGGCAGCGCACCGGCGCCCUACUGACGCUCAGGCACGAAAGCGUGGGUAUCGAACAGG
rnacentral:rRNA from 1 species